rnacentral:rRNA from 1 species
CAGUCGCCGCGGUAAUACGUAGGUGGCAAGCGUUGUCCGGAAUUAUUGGGCGUAAAGGGCUCGCAGGCGGUUUCUUAAGUCUGAUGUGAAAGCCCCCGGCUCAACCGGGGAGGGUCAUUGGGAACUGGGAAACUUGAGUGCAGAAGAGGAGAGUGGAAUUCCACGUGUAGCGGUGAAAUGCGUAGAGAUGUGGAGGAACACCAGUGGCGAAGGCGACUCUCUGGUCUGUAACUGACGCUGAGGCACGAAAGCGUGGGGAGCAAACAGGAUUAGAUACCCCAGUAGUCCCUGUCUCUUAUAC